rnacentral:rRNA from 1 species
GACGAACGCUGGCGGCAUGCCUAAUACAUGCAAGUCGAGCGAACAGAUGGAGUGCUUGCACUUCUGACGUUAGCGGCGAACGGGUGAGUAACACGUAAGGAAUCUACCUAUAAGCGGGGGAUAACAUUCGGAAACGGGUGCUAAUACCGCAUAAUAUCUUCUUCCGCAUGGAAGAAGAUUGAAAGACGGCUCUGCUGUCACUUAUAGAUGACCUUGCGGUGCAUUAGUUAGUUGGUGGGGUAACGGCCUACCAAGACGAGGAUGCAUAGCCGACAUGAGAGGGUGAUCGGCCACAUUGGGACUGAGACACGGCCCAAACUCCUACAGGAGGCAGCAGUAGGGAAUCUUCCGCAAUGGGCGAAAGCCUGACGGAGCAAUGCCGCGUGAGUGAAGAAGGCCUUCGGGUCGUAAAACUCUGUUAUAAGAGAAGAACAAAUUGUAGAGUAACUGCUACAGUCUUGACGGUAUCUUAUCAGAAAGCCACGGCUAACUACGUGCCAGCCGCCGCGGUAA